GGGUGCGAUCAUACCAGUACUAAUGCUCAAAAUCCCAUCAGAACUCCGCAGUUAAGCAUGCCUGGGCGAGAGUAGUACUAGGAUGGGUGACCAUCCUGGAAAGUCCUCGUGUUGCACCCA
rnacentral:rRNA from 1 species